UACGUAGGGGGCAAGCGUUGUCCGGAUUCAUUGGGCGUAAAGAGCGUGUAGGCGGCCAGGUAGGUCGGUUGUGAAAACUGGAGGCUCAACCUUCAGAGGUCGACCGAAACCAUCUGGCUAGAGUCCGGGAGAGGAGAGUGGAAUUCCUGGUGUAGCGGUGAAAUGCGCAGAUAUCAGGAAGAACACCCGUGGCGAAGGCGGCUUCCUGGACCGACACUGACGCUGAGGCGCGAAAGCUAGGGGAGCAAACGGG
rnacentral:rRNA from 1 species